AAGAAGGGAAGUUCUUGGACUUCUGCAACCCCAAGCUUUUUCAACCCUAAGGCAAAGACGCCAGCAAGACCAUGAACACGUUGGGCAAUAGAUUUUAGACCUGCAGGUCCAUGGUAAACAGCAUACAUGGCAGCCAUGUUGGCAAGCAACGCCUGUAAGAAAAGGAAAAAACAUACACAAAAUGUCAGAGUAAGAGGAAAAGAUGAAGUUCUCAUCAGCAUGAAUCAAUAUAAUAUAUCAUCUAAUUAUCAGCGCGAACUAAGUAAUCAGAUAGUAAGAAGUGAUUACUUACUUGAGCAGUACAGAUGUUGCUAGUGGCUUUGUCCCUCCUAAUAUGCUGUUCUCUAGUCUGCAUAGCCAUACGCAGAGCUUGCUUUCCUGAAGAAUCAACACUAACACCGAUAAUCCUCCCUGGCAUCAUUCUCUUAUACUCUUGUGAAGUAGCCAAGAAAGCGGCAUGAGGACCACCAUAACCCAUGGGAACACCAAACCUUUGAGCGGAACCAACCACAAUAUCGGCCCCCAAUUCUCCAGGGGGUUUCAACAUAGUCAAAGCCAGCAAAUCCGUAGCCAUCACAACCUUAACACCAUUAGCAUGAGCAGUCUUGACAAACUCAGCAUAAUCCAAGACCUCACCUUCAGUUCCAGGGUACUGGACAAGAACCCCACAAACAUCACCAGAGCUGUAAUCUAUAUCCUUGAGAUCAGCGGAGAGAACUUUGAGAUCAAACCCACCGGCUCUAGUCUUGCAGAUAUCAAUAGUCUGAGGGUGACAGUUACUAGCAAUGAGAAAGGUCUUCUUUUUACCCUUUUGAAUGUUGUUACACAUGGCCAUAGCCUCGGCAGCCGCAGUCCCUUCAUCGAGGAGCGAAGCGUUCGACAUGGGAAGCCCCGUGAGGUCGGUGAUGACCGUCUGGAAAUUGAGCAGCGAUUCGAGACGACCCUGAGAGAUCUCAGCUUGAUAAGGAGUGUACUGAGUGUACCAAGCUGGGUUCUCCAUAAUGUUACGGAGAAUCACAGGAGGGACAUACGUGUUGUAGUAACCCAUCCCAAUAAAGGAUUUGAAAAUCUUGUUCUUGGAAGCCAAAUCAACCAUGUGCUCGAUCAUUUGGCUCUCGGUUAGACCUCCGUCGAAUUUGGAGAACUUCAUGGAGUCUAAUCGAAUAGAUUUGGGAACCGUAGCGUCGACGAGUGAAUCGAUAUGAUCAAAGCCACAGAACUUGGCCAUAUGGCUCUGCUCAUCUGGUGUUGCCGAGUUGUGACGACGCGGGAAGGUGUCGCCAGGUUGAAGAGCCUCGACGGAGAUGGGACGCGUCUGCUGGUGGGAGUGGUGCCUCCCGAAUGACGCGGGGGAUCGAUGGGUGGAGACGAAAGGGGAAAGAGAAGAGACAUACCUCGCCGGAGCGUGGGGAACAACAAGGUGGGGAGUUUCGGGGUUGCGGUGUCGUUUAGCCUCGUUAACGAGACGCUUGACGAUGCCUCGGUAAGCAAGUCUCCUUGCGCGCUCCAUGACUGGGUUGCACUCAGAAAACUUUAAAAAAUAAAAAACGCAGAGCGAAAGAGUAGAUUAGAUGUGUGAGGUUGAGGAAGAUGAAGGAUAGAUAUGUCUUGCUUUUUUAGUAUAUCGUAGCCAUGGAUGGUGGAGGGAAUCUGAGAGAUGAGAUGAGAUGAGAUAGAGAGAGUAUAUAAUACACACACACACACUCUCACUCACGGACCGUUGUAAAAAGAAAAAUGCGAAUGAAUGAAUGUAUAUGACGAC
rnacentral:lncRNA from 1 species